rnacentral:rRNA from 1 species
CGGAAAUGGAUUAGCGGCGAACGGGGUGAGGAACACGUGAAGAAUCUGCCCUCCACUUUGGGAUAACACCGGGAAACCGGUGCUAAUACCGAAUAUUGAAACAUAAGUGGCAUCACUGAGUUUUGAAAGAAUUUCGGUGGAGGAUGACUUCGCGGCCUAUCAGCUAGUUGGUGAGGUAAUGGCUCACCAAGGCAACGACGGGUAGCCGGCCUGAGAGGGCGACCGGCCACACUGGGACUGAGACACGGCCCAGACUCCUACGGGAGGCAGCAGUGGGGAAUAUUGGGCAAUGGAGGAAACUCUGACCCAGCGACGCCGCGUGCGGGAUGAAGGCCUUCGGGUUGUAAACCGCUUUCAGUAGGGAAGAAGCGAAAGUGACGGUACCUACAAAAGAAGCACCGGCUAACUAUGUG